rnacentral:rRNA from 1 species
UACGGGGGGUGCAAGCGUUGUUCGGAUUUACUGGGCGUAAAGGGCGCGUAGGCGGACUAACAAGUCAGAUGUGAAAACUAUGGGCUUAACCCAUAGCCUGCAUUUGAAACUGUUAGUCUUGAGUACAGGAGAGGAAAGCGGAAUUCCAGGUGUAGCGGUGAAAUGCGUAGAUAUCUGGAAGAACACCAGUAGCGAAGGCGGCUUUCUGGACUGAUACUGACGCUAAAGCGCGAAGGCUUGGGUAGCAAACAGGAUUAGAUACCCCUGUA